GAUGAACGCUGGUGGCGUGCCUAAUACAUGCAAGUCGAGCGAACAGACGAGGAGCUUGCUCCUCUGACGUUAGCGGCGGACGGGUGAGUAACACGUGGAUAACCUGCCUAUAAGACUGGGAUAACUUCGGGAAACCGGAGCUAAUACCGGAUAAUAUAUUGAACCGCAUGGUUCAAUAGUGAAAGACGGUUUUGCUGUCACUUAUAGAUGGAUCCGCGCCGCAUUAGCUAGUUGGUAAGGUAACGGCUUACCAAGGCAACGAUGCGUAGCCGACCUGAGAGGGUGAUCGGCCACACCGGAACUGAGACACGGUCCAGACUCCUACGGGAGGCAGCAGUAGGGAAUCUUCCGCAAUGGGCGAAAGCUUGACGGAGCAACGCCGCGUGAGUGAUGAAGGUCUUCGGAUCGUAAAACUCUGUUAUUAGGGAAGAACAAAUGUGUAAGUAACUAUGCACGUCUUGACGGUACCUAAUCAGAAAGCCACGGCUAACUACGUG
rnacentral:rRNA from 1 species